AAAGAGGCUGAUCGGUCUUAGCAGAGAGAAAUCCAGGUUGGAGAUGUCAGCGGGUCCAGAGAGAACUCGAUGCCACCGCAACGGUAUUGGCGAACCGGCAGGAUGAAAGCGAGCAGUCCAGAAAGCGGCUUAUCGAACAGAGCCGGGAGUUCAAGAAGAACACUCCAGAGGAUUUGCGCAAGCAGGUAGCGCCGCUGCUGAAGAGUUUCCAAGGAGAGAUUGAUGCACUGAGUAAAAGAAGCAAGGAAGCUGAAGCAGCUUUCUUGAAUGUCUACAAAAGAUUGAUUGACGUCCCAGAUCCCGUACCAGCUUUGGAUCUCGGACAGCAACUCCAGCUCAAAGUGCAGCGCCUGCACGAUAUUGAAACAGAGAACCAGAAACUUAGGGAAACUCUGGAAGAAUACAACAAGGAAUUUGCUGAAGUGAAAAAUCAAGAGGUUACGAUAAAAGCACUUAAAGAGAAAAUCCGAGAAUAUGAACAGACACUGAAGAACCAAGCCGAAACCAUAGCUCUUGAGAAGGAACAGAAGUUACAGAAUGACUUUGCAGAAAAGGAGAGAAAGCUGCAGGAGACACAGAUGUCCACCA
rnacentral:sRNA from 1 species